UAUCAUGUAAUAAAAAAAAACUACAAAAUGAUAUCGCAAAAACUCCACAGGAAGCCAUAAUAGUAGUAGAGUAGUAUUUUAUGUUAGAUUUUGAAAUGUCACAUUUUUGUCAGUUUUCCGUUGAGUAUAUGGCAAACUGCAAAGCGGUAUGUAGUUCAAUAUGUUAACGUAACAUUAUUCAGCAGGUUUCAUUCGACUUCAUGAAGCAAAAUUAGAUCAUUCUAUUGGGCGCUGCAAAACUUUUGCCCAUAGCUGUAUUUUAGUGAUUAAACUCAAAUAAAACGAAUAGCUUGCAAAUAAAAUGGUGUUGAAACGGUUUUGAAAUCUUGGGUUGGAUUGUUUCUAUAGGCUGAGCAUCGUGGCAGAGAAAAUAACCCCUUUGGGGAUCUCCAGCUCUCAAACGCCGGUCAGUACUCAAAGGAAGAUGCUGAGGGCACUUAUGCUGCACUGAACACAUCAGCUGUUUCCUCAGACUAUGAAGAAAUAUGCAAGAAGUAACCAGGAUGGAAAUCUUUGCUCUAAUUGAUAAUGCUGGCGGCUGAUAAAAUUUACUGCCUUCAUUUUGUGAACAGUAAUGCUACUCUUUAGUCCUUUACUGUUUGCUUAGCUUUAAGAGGCUUUAUUGAACUGGAGCUUCAUUUAUGGCAAAAGAAUGCAAUUCUGUUUUAAAGCACAGAUAUAAAAAUGUGCAUCUCCAGUCAAAAUGUAUUUCACACAGUAUUUUUUAUUGUUUUUUUUAUUUCACAAUAUUGUAAAGCCAAAAAAAAGCUUAUUUUUUUUAAUAAGAUAUUUAUGAAUGUAUUUGAAUAUAUUUAGCAAUCAUGACCUGCUACAUAUAUUGCAUCAUCAGUAAGGUGUUCAAUACGGUAGAUAAGUCAUCUACAAUACACUGCACUUUUAAACACAUAUUUUACAAUAUAUUCCAAUGUAUUUUAUAUUUCUUGAGGGAUGAUGUCUUUCUCAGUUUUAAUUUCAAAUAAAUAAUGAAACUUC